AUGUCUGCGGACAACCAUGCUGGUAUCACUAGAGCGCGGCGGGAGCCGGCGAGGGCUGCGGGAGCCGGCGAGGGCUGCUGCCGCCGGGCGCAGGUGUCCCCCCUCGUCUCCUUCAGCGCGACCCACCAACUCCACAGCAAAUCUCUUGAGUAAUGAAGAAAACUUGAAACUGUUUGGGAAAUGCAACAAUCUAAAUGGCCAUGGAAACAAUUAUAAAGUUGUGGUGACGGUGCAUGGAGAGAUUGAUCCUGUUACAGGAAUUGUUAUGAAUUUGACCUCAAAGAGUAUAUGGAGAAGGCAAUUAUGAAGCCCCUUGAUCAUAAGAAUUUGGAUCUGCAUGUGCCAUACUUUGUAGAUGUUAUAAGCACGACAGAAAAUGUAGCUGUAUAUAUCUGGGAAAACCUCCAGAAAUUUCUUCCUCUGGGAGUUCUUUAUAAAGUAAAAGUGUAUGAAACUGACAAUAAUAUCGUUGUCUAUAAAGGAGAAUGGCUUUUAGGGGUUAAUACUGUAGAAAGACUAAUUUCUUUCCAUAUUUGAAAAAGGUCUUUAUCCCCUGGGACUAUUAAGAAGUCGUCACACACUUGUUAUGCCUCUACAUUGUGUUCCGGAGUGCCCAAUUAAUUGAAAUCGUUGUGUGUAAGACCUGUUGUGAAUUCAAAUCUAUCUUAAAACCAAACUUGUAAAACAUCCUGAGUAUCAUUUAGA